rnacentral:rRNA from 1 species
GGAGGUUGCUGCUAUCGGGAUUCGACUAAGCCAUGCAAGUCUUUCCGCAAGGAAGGCAAACUGCUGAGUAACACGUCGAUAACCUUCCCUUAGGUUCGGGAUAUCCUCGGGAAACUGAGGUUAAGACCGGAUCGAGAACUUCCUCUGGAAUGAGAUGUUCUUCAAACGUAAGGCCUAAGGAUGGGACGGCGGUGGAUUAGGUAGUUGGUGAGGUAAUGGCUCACCAAGCCCAAGAUCCAUAGGGGCCCUGAAAGGGGGAGCCCCCAGAAGGGCACUGAGAUACUGGCCCUAGCCCUACGGGGUGCAGCAGGCGCGAAAACUUCGCAAUGCACGCAAGUGUGACGAGGGAAUCCCGAGUGCUUAUGCAAUGCAAGGCUUUUUGUAAGAGUAAAUAUCUUAUAGAAUAAGUGGGGGGCAAUACCUGUGCCAGCCGCCGCGGUAACCCAGGACCCACAAGUGGCAACCACGUUUAUUGGGCCUAAAGCGUCCGUAGCCGGUUUGGAAAAUCUUCUGUGAAAUUGACAGGCUUAACUGUUGCAGUGCAGAAGACACUACCUGACUAGAGAUUGGGAGGCGUGAGGAGUAUUUUUGGGGGAGCGGUAAAAUGUUAUAAUCCCAAAAGGACUACCUGUGGCGAAGGCGCCUCACG